AUUGAACGCUGGCGGAUUGCUUUACACAUGCAAGUCGAACGGCAGCACGGACUUCGGGCUGGUGCCGAGUGGCGAAAGGGUGUGUAACAUAACGGAACGUAUCCAAUAUUGGGGGAUAAGAUGUAGAAAACUUCGCUAAUACCCCAUACGCACUGCGGGGGACAGCUGGGGACUUUAGGGCCUGGGGUUAAUGGACUGGCCCGUGUCUGAUUAGCUUGUUGGUGAGGUAAAGGCUAACCAAGGCGACGAUCAGUAGCUGGUAGGAGAGGAUGAUCCGCCACACUGGGACUGAGACACGGCCCAGACUCCUACGGGAGGCAGCAGUGGGGAAUUUUGGACAAUGGGGGCAACCCUGAUCCAGCCAUGCCGCGUGAGUGAAGAAGGCCUUCGGGUUGUAGAGCUCUUUCGGCCGGGAAGAAAUCGCACAGGCUAAUACCUUGUGUGGAUGACGGUACCGGAAUAAGAAGCACCGGCUAACUACGUGCCAGCAGCCGCCGCCG
rnacentral:rRNA from 1 species